ensembl:lincRNA
UUUUGAAGAAAGCUGGGGAGGACUGGGAGCUAAUUUUUCUCAUUAUUAACAGGACCUCUGAUCCCUGAAGGGAGGACCCAGAGUCACCAGCCUGCCAAGAAGCACCGAGCAUCUGCUCUGGAGAAGGGAAUUAGGAAGGAAACGUGUGAACCACGCAGCCAGACCGGUCUCCAGAUGGCGAGACCUCUGAGGAAUUCAUCUGUGGUCAAUAGCACUGGAAUCACCCAUGAGUCCAAGAUGGAAGGCUGAUGAAGAGAAGGAACAGGGAGAGGGAAUUAACUUUCCUGAGCUCAAAAUCUGCAUCACUGAGUGGCAGCUUCAAGGAUAGCCACAAGAAGAUCAUCCAACCUCC